rnacentral:rRNA from 1 species
AUGCACGCUGGCGGCGUGCCUCAUCCAUGCAAGUCGAGCGCACAGACGAGGAGCUUGCUCCUCUGACGUUAGCGGCGGACGGGUGAGUAACACGUGGAUAACCUACCUAUAAGACUGGGAUAACUUCGGGAAACCGGAGCUAAUACCGGAUAAUAUAUUGAACCGCAUGGUUCAAUAGUGAAAGACGGUUUUGCUGUCACUUAUAGAUGGAUCCGCGCCGCAUUAGCUAGUUGGUAAGGUAACGGCUUACCAAGGCGACGAUGCGUAGCCGACCUGAGAGGGUGAUCGGCCACACUGGAACUGAGACACGGCCCAGACUCCUACGGGAGGCAGCAGUAGGGAAUCUUCCGCAAUGGGCGAAAGCCUGACGGAGCAACGCCGCGUGAGUGAUGAAGGUCUUCGGAUCGUAAAACUCUGUUAUUAGGGAAGAACAAAUGUGUAAGUAACUAUGCACGUCUUGACGGUACCUAAUCAGAAAGCCACGGCUAACUACGUG